CUCUUGGAGUCCCUUCUUCUGUGGUGUUUGCUUUCACAGGCACCAGGAGUACUGUGUUCCCUGAAUUUUAUCCCUACAGGAAAAAAAGUAAUUGAUAAACUACAUGAAACCAUCAGUAUCUAAAUGUCACUCUAUUUUCAAUAGGCACUCAAGAAAGAGCGCUGUUUUGUCCAGUGGAAGAUUCUCUAGUUCAUUUCUUUUUUUUUUUUUUUUCACGUCAGAUGGGUAAUGUGCCAAUGUCGUAACAAGGUUCAAAGGAGGCACAUGUCAUGCAUGGAGCAUGAACACCCAGUCAUCACGCUUAUGUACCUGAGGAUCUUUCGACUUCGUUUCGAACGAUGAAAUGGGAUGUGAAGCAGGAACAUUUGCUCCUCUGCAGUGUGCCGCUCUGCCUUGGAGCCAGCUAAUUAUGGGCUGAAACCUCUACAAACUUAAACUUGUGAAACAGGAAGUGAAGAAGAGUGCUGUGCUGGAGGAAAAAACAAAAUUAAAAACCUUUGGAAGAGCUUUUGCAUGAAUAGAAUAAUAUCAAGAAAGGAGGGAUAAGUUUCUGUCCGUACAUCACAUGGAAGCCCCUUAGGCAUUUUGGAGCUCUGCCCUAUAGGAAAUGAUGAUGCUUAGCAAGUGACGCCAGGACCAAGAUGCUUGCUGGAUGUAUUGUCAGUAUCCAGCAAAGCUUGUGGUGCUUCCAGGGAACCCAGCCAGAAACCGUAACCUGAUUCAGCAUCAGAUAAACUUUGGAAACAGCACUGAGGAAAGGUGCUUGUGCUGCUGGACUAAACUUCCACCGCUACCAUAUGACUUCUGGCUCUUCCCUAAAGUCAAAUGACCAAGACAGUUUUCCAGAAAGAAAGAGUCUGCAAAGUUGGAGCAGUGGAGAUCUUGGUUACUGAAAGGAUUGACAUUAAAAAGAAGCCAAGUACCUUACAUCAGGACGAUAGAAAAGAUAUCUUGAAGGCAUGGAGAAAUCAGUAAGACACUACUCAUCAAAAAUUUAAGGGUGCAAAAGUGAAAGACUUUGCUUUAAGAAGAGACCCCCAAGGCAACAAGCUCAAGAAAGGCUUCCAAGGAAAUUAUUUUUCUGUGAUUCAUUUCACAGUACUCAGCUAUGCCCCAGGUUCUCAGGAACUCGGAUGAAGCCGUGAAGCAAAAGAGUCCAGUUACUGCUGGAACCAGAGGCAGAUCUUGGUAUCAUCAAUUUAGAGCUGGUUUCACAGUCGUGCAGAAUGUAAGAGUUGUAGUCUCAGAAAGGCUUCCACCCAAUUUCAGAAAAGGCCUUGGAGGUCAGGGAGUGUGCAGUGUGCUUAGAAAGGGGAGUAUGUGAAGCUGUGAGAAUGAAGCCAAAAGUUCGGUGGCGACCCCAAGAAGUUGGAGAACCAUGUGUUGGGAGCAUGGAACAUCUGAAGAAAGCCAUAUGGAGUGAGCAAAUCCAGCCCAAGAGGGAAGCCGUGCAGGCUAAAGCAACUGGCAAUGCCGUAGGGGCAGGGAUGUCCAAGCCAUUUAUAGCUCAAAUACUUGACCCACAGCAUUCAAUGUUUGCCUGCUUGGCUUUGGUUUGGUUUCUUUCUGGCCGGUUUCUUCCUUUUGGGAUGGAAAUUUUUACCUUGUGCCAUUGUACAUCACCCAUGUUUACCUUUCUGAUUUUUAUAGGAGAUCACAGAUAAGAGGUUGCUUUAAGCCUCAGAGGAUCCUCUGGACAUGACUUUUCAGCAAUCUAAAACUGCUCAGACUUUGCAACUCUUAGAUACUAAACCAUUUCACGUAAAGAAAUGCACACGAGUCAUUUGGGUGUAGGACAAAAUGUUCAGGCUUAUAUUUAGACGUCCCAACAAUGAGACAGUGACCAUGACAUUCCCAAUGUCAAAAAGAGUCUUAAAGGAAAACCAAAGGAUUGAAACUUUCAGAGAAUCACUAAAAAUCUAGGCGUGAAGAAGCAAUGUAUUAAAACACUGACCUUUCCC